AGAGUUUGAUCAUGGCUCAGAACGAACGCUGGUGGCGUGUCUUAUACAUGCAAGUCGAGCGAGUCAGUGUAGCAAUACACUAGGCGAGCGGCGCACGGGUGAGUAACGCGUAAACAAUCUGCCCUGCAGUCGGGAACAACCAUCCCAACGGAUGGCUAAUACCGGAUAUUAUGGCGGUCCUCCUGGACCGUUGAUGAAAGAUUUAUCGCUGCAGGAUGAGUUUGCGUCCGAUUAGYUAGUUGGCGGGGUAACGGCCCACCAAGGCGACGAUCGGUAUCCGGCCUGAGAGGGUGAUCGGACACAUUGGGACUGAGAUACGGCCCAGACUCCUACGGGAGGCAGCAGUAGGGAAUAUUGCACAAUGGGGGAAACCCUGAUGCAGCAACGCCACGUGUGGGAAGAAGCAUUUCGGUGUGUAAACCACUGUCGAUAGGGAAUAAACUUGGCUUUCGGGCCAAUUGAAUGUACCUGUAAAGGAAGCACCGGCAAACUUCGUGCCAGCAGCCGCGGUAAUACGAGGGGUGCAAGCGUUGUUCGGAAUCACUGGGCGUAAAGGGAGCGUAGGCGGAACUCCAAGUCGGUCGUACAAUACCAGGGCCCAACCCUGGAUCUGCGGCCGAGACUGGUUUUCUUGAGUUAUUUAGAGGCAAGCGGAAUUCCAGGUGUAGCGGUGGAAUGCGUAGAGAUCUGGAAGAACACCAAUGGCGAAGGCAGCUUGCUGGGAAUUAACUGACGCUGAGGCUCGAAAGCGCGKGUAGCAAACAGGAUUAGAUACCCUGGUAGUCC
rnacentral:rRNA from 1 species